ACUACUUUGAUAUCGGUAAAGCUGCCACCUAGGCUACGUCACUCGCCUGUCAAACAGAAGAUUUCCUUUCCACUUUUACCUCAGGGACACCACAGGAGACCAGACGGCUCAUUAAUUUCAGGGCGACCAGGGACAAUGAGUUCCUAAAAUCGAAAAUGAUCGCCAGAAAACAGUGGGAGCUUUUUCUGGAAGAAAUGGGGGUGGAGGGGAAAGUGACCAGGCAACAGGCUUCUAAGAAGUGGGAGAACCUUAAAAAGAAGUAUAAGGUAUGUGUCUAGUUUGAAAUAAACAAUUACCAAUUGCCUAAUGAAUGUAUCAACCAAACGAGACCAUUGUUUUUGUUGUAAUUGAGUAUUUGCUGUGUGUGUGUCUGUGUCUGUGUGUUUGUUUUUUCAGGAUUUGAGGACUCCCAAAACUCGGGUCGGGGACUGAAAGUGGGGAGGUGACUGGCGACGUGGCAGUAUUAUGACUUGAUGCACGAGGUUCUUGGUGCCCGGCCAGCAAUUGACCCACCAGUCCUUGUGUCAUCUAUUCAAGACCCCAUGGUUAUCCUCAUGGAGAUGGUGGAGCCCUACACCCAAGGUUGACCUCCACCUUGUCUUCAUCAUCCCGAAGGCCCGCUCUAUCACAGAACGCGCCAUGGAUUGGCGGUAAUUAAAGCGCUGCUGCACCCGCCCAAUCACCGGCUCUUUAUAGGGAGUCAACAGACAUACGGGCGUCUGGAGGCAGGGGUACCCACCAUCACCUAAUAGCAUGUAACCCGGCGGUGGAUACCUGGCAGUCAAAUAAAAAUAACUGUUUUUCAUUACCCUUGUGUCAUGGACAGACCCUGGGUAGCCCACAAAAAUGUCCAAAAAUGUCCCCUUUGCAUCGCAUAUGGCCUGCAUGUUAAUUGAAUAGAAAUUCUUGUAAUUUAGAUAGUCUAAUCGAUGUAGUUGUGGUGGCUUGAUCCGAAUAUGGGUUCCAUCGAUCCUUCUUUUCCAAAGAGGGCAGCAUGUUUCUUGUCAAACGAGCGCCUGACAGUCUCUCCGUCCUGU